GGCGAACGCUGGCGGCAGGCCUAAUACAUGCAAGUCGAGCGGGUCCUUCGGGAUUAGCGGCGGACGGGUGAGUAACGCGUGGAACGUGCCCUUUGGUACGGAACAACUGAGGGAAACUUCAGCUAAUACCGUAUGUGCCCUUCGGGGAAAGAUUUAUCGCCAUUGGAGCGGCCCGCGUUGGAUUAGGUAGUUGGUGAGGUAAAGGCUCACCAAGCCUACGAUCCAUAGCUGGUCUGAGAGGAUGACCAGCCACACUGGGACUGAGACACGGCCCAGACUCCUACGGGAGGCAGCAGUAGGGAAUCUUGCGCAAUGGGCGAAAGCCUGACGCAGCCAUGCCGCGUGAAUGAUGAAGGUCUUAGGAUUGUAAAAUUCUUUCACCGGGGACGAUAAUGACGGUACCCGGAGAAGAAGCCCCGGCUAACUUCGUGCCAGCAGCCGCGGUAAU
rnacentral:rRNA from 1 species